GAUGAACGCUGGCGGCGUGCCUAAUACAUGCAAGUCGAGCGAACGGACGAGAAGCUUGCUUUUCUGAUGUUAGCGGCGGACGGGUGAGUAACACGUGGAUAACCUACCUAUAAGACUGGGAUAACUUCGGGAAACCGGAGCUAAUACCGGAUAAUAUUUUGAACCGCAUGGUUCAAAAGUGAAAGACGGUCUUGCUGUCACUUAUAGAUGGAUCCGCGCUGCAUUAGCUAGUUGGUAAGGUAACGGCUUACCAAGGCAACGAUGCAUAGCCGACCUGAGAGGGGGAUCGGCCACACUGGAACUGAGACACGGUCCAUACUCCUACGGGAGGCAGCAGUAGGGAAUCGUCCGCAAUGGGCGAAAGCCUGACGGAGCAACGCCGCGUGAGUGAUGAAGGUCUUCGGAUCGUAAAACUCUGUUAUUAGGGAAGAACAUAUGUGUAAGUAACUGUGCACAGCUUGACGGUACCUAAUCAGAAAGCCACGGCUAACUACGUG
rnacentral:rRNA from 1 species